rnacentral:rRNA from 1 species
UACGAAGGGGGCAAGCGUUGCUCGGAAUUACUGGGCGUAAAGCGCACGUAGGCGGUCUUUUAAGUCGGGGGUGAAAUCCUGGAGCUCAACUCCAGAACUGCCUUCGAUACUGGAAGACUUGAGUCCUGGAGAGGUGAGUGGAACUGCGAGUGUAGAGGUGAAAUUCGUAGAUAUUCGCAAGAACACCAGUGGCGAAGGCGGCUCACUGGCCCGGUACUGACGCUGAGGUGCGAAAGCGUGGGGAGCAAACAGG